rnacentral:misc_RNA from 1 species
CAGGGUCAGAUGUGUAUAAGAGACAGGUGAGUCAUCGAAUCUUUGAACGCACAUUGCGCCCCUUGGUAUUCCGAGGGGCAUGCCUGUUCGAGCGUCAUUAUAACCACUCAAGCCUGGCUUGGUAUUGGGGUUCGCGUGCUCGCGGCCCUUAAAAUCAGUGGCGGUGCCGUCUGGCUCUAAGCGUAGUAAUUCUCUCGCUAUAGAGUCCCGGCGGUUGCUUGCCAGAACCCCCCACAUUUAAGGUUGACCUCGGAUCAGGUAGGGAUACCCGCUGAACUUAAGCAUAUCAAUAAGCGGAGG